rnacentral:rRNA from 1 species
UACAGAGGGUGCAAGCGUUAAUCGGAAUUACUGGGCGUAAAGCGUGCGCAGACGGUUGCGUAAGUCAGAUGUGAAAGCCCCGGGCUCAACCCUGGGAAUUGCAUUUGAGACUGCGUAGCUAGGGUGCGGAAGAGGGAAGCGGAAUUUCCGGUGUAGCGGUGAAAUGCGUAGAUAUCGGAAGGAACACCAGUGGCGAAAGCGGCUUCCUGGUCCAGCACCGACGUUCAGGCACGAAAGCGUGG